rnacentral:miRNA from 2 species
AAAUUACUUGUCGUUCUAGCU